UACGUAGGUGGCAAGCGUUGUCCGGAUUUAUUGGGUUUAAAGGGUGCGUAGGCGGUCCUAUAAGUCAGUUGUGAAAUACGGCAGCUUAACUGUCGAGGUGCAAUUGAUACUGCAGGACUUGAGUACAGACGAGGUAGGCGGAAUUGACGGUGUAGCGGUGAAAUGCUUAGAUAUCGUCAAGAACACCGAUAGCGAAGGCAGCUUACUAGACUGUAACUGACGCUGAGGCACGAAAGUGUGGGGAUCGAACAGG
rnacentral:rRNA from 1 species